rnacentral:rRNA from 1 species
AUUGAACGCUGGCGGAACGCUUUACACAUGCAAGUCAAACGGCAGCACGGACUUCGAUCUGGUGGCGAGUGGCGAACGGGUGAGUAAUGUAUCGGAACGUGCCCAGUCGUGGGGGAUAACGUAGUGAAAAUUACGCUAAUACCGCAUACGAUCUAUGGAUGAAAGCGGGGGAUCGCAAGACCUCGCGCGAUUGGAGCGGCCGAUAUCAGAUUAGGUAGUUGGUGGGGUAAAGGCCCACCAAGCCAACGAUCUGUAGCUGGUCUGAGAGGACGACCAGCCACACUGGAACUGAGACACGGUCCAGACUCCUACGGGAGGCAGCAGUGGGGAAUUUUGGACAAUGGGCGAAAGCCUGAUCCAGCCAUUCCGCGUGCAGGAUGAAGGCCCUCGGGUUGUAAACUGCUUUUGUACAGAACGAAAAGGUUUCUACUAAUACUAGGAGCUCAUGACGGUACUGUAAGAAUAAGCACCGGCUAACUACGUGCCAGCCGCCGCAGUAA